UGACUUGUGCAUUGUCAUCAAAAUGCAGCCCCUGAAGACAAUUGGAAUAUGUUAUUGAUCAAUGGACUCAGUGUUGGAAAAGGAGAAGUUUCACCUGAGGAAUUUUAUGCUGUUAUUAAGAAACGAAUAGAGCGGAUCUUAAUUCGAACAGAAGGAGGUUCUUAUCAGCAGCGUAUCCUAGUUGAGUAUCUUAAAGGCAUCCAGUCAAGAACUGAGGAGAUUGUCCAUGCAAUUCAAGGGCCACAAUAAUGAAGUUUGGGACAUCUGCUUAAGUGCCUACCUACAGAUGCUGUAAAUGCAGAUCUUGUCCAACUUUCAAUUGCUAAUUACUUGAUGAACCUGACUGGCCACAACAAAAAUGAUCAUCUUAGUUAUGGUUAUUUGUGAACUUCUAGUUAUAAACCUUAAAUAUUUAAAAGUAAAAUAAAGUUCAGUUUUUUAUGCUUCGAAUACUUUUUAUUCUAUUCACUAGCAUUAACCUACUAAAGUUGGUUAUGAAAUCAUUUUAACAACCUUUUGUA